rnacentral:rRNA from 1 species
GACGAACGCUGGCGGCGUGCCUAAUACAUGCAAGUCGAACGCACUCUCGUUUAGAUUGAAGGAGUUUGCUCCUGCUUGAUAAACAUUUGAGUGAGUGGCGGACGGGUGAGUAACACGUGGGUAACCUGCCCUAAAGAGGGGGAUAAAAUUAGGAAACAGAUGUUAUUACGGCUUAAAACCUACCACGGCUUGGUGUAGGGUUGAAGGAUGUUUUCGGCUUUCACUUUAGGUGGGACCCGCGGGCCAUUAGUUGGUUGGUGCGGUAAAGGCUGACCAAGCCCGUGAUGCAUAGCCGACCUGAGAGGGUAAUCGGCCACACUGGGACUGAGACGCGGCCCAGACUCCUACGGGAGGCAGCAGUAGGGAAGCUUCCACGAUGGACGAAAGUCUGAUGGAGCAACGCCGCGUGAGUGAAGAAGGUUUUCGGAUCGUAAAACUCUGUUGUUGGAGAAGAAUGUAUCUGAUAGGAACUGAGCAGGUAGUGACGGUAUCCAACCAGAAAGCCACGGCUAACUACGUG